GGGCUUGACAUAAUCAAAUGUAAAUAUGGCCAUCUGCGUGUGUGAAUGAUGGGAGAGGUUUUUUUUAAAUGGGCCAGAAUCCCCUAGCCUCACUAGAAGCUUCAUCUCUAAGUCAAGGGCCUUUCCAGUGUCUGAAAGAGCAAGGGAUCUCCCUGAUGAACUACGCCUGGGUUUCCUCCUGUAAAGACCUCGUGUGACAGGGUGGUCAGACGGCCGGCACAUCCUGAGAUACACCCAGUCCGGCACAUGGAGUACUCCGUCGAUGGGAACACAACAAUGGCACGCAAGCUGUGGCCGGGGCUGCACAACACACAAAGAUGGACUGACAGGAUUGCGUUCAUUCCGAUAAACUGGAGCACUAAAAUUCCUAAGUGGCAGAAUGUCUGUCAAGGUUUCCCCUGCAAUAUCCCCUAAACUUUGGCACAAUGUGCAAGGUUCACUCUGCUGGGUGGAAAACACAGAAUCUCCUGGAGAUUGUUACUAUGCAACAGCUAACAGGCCCCCUGCAUGUGUAGGCAUGUGCUAUACAUGUACAUUGACCUCAAAUAUUUCAGGUGCUUAACUCAGUCUGCCUGGAGUGUUAUGUGGGCUGGGUUAGUGACAUGGUUGUCUACUCUUGC